rnacentral:rRNA from 1 species
AGCGAACGCUGGCGGCAGGCCUAAUACAUGCAAGUCGAACGGCUCUUCGGAGCAGUGGCGGACGGGUGAGUAACGCGUGGGAAUGUGCCCUUUGGUACGGAACAACACAGGGAAACUUGUGCUAAUACCGUAUGUGCCCUUCGGGGGAAAGAUUUAUCGGGGAAGGAUUGGCCCGCGUUGGAUUAGCUAGUUGGUGGGGUAAAGGCCUACCAAGGCGACGAUCCAUAGCUGGUCUGAGAGGAUGAUCAGCCACAUUGGGACUGAGACACGGCCCAAACUCCUACGGGAGGCAGCAGUGGAGAAUAUUGGACAAUGGGCGCAAGCCUGAUCCAGCCAUGCCGCGUGAGUGAUGAAGGCCUUAGGGUUGUAAAGCUCUUUCACCGAUGAAGAUAAUGACGGUAGCCGGAGAAGAAGCCCCGGCUAACUUCGUGCCAGCCGCCGCAGUAAAAC